CGCCGACUCCCAUCAGCCCCAACCACCCUCCUGCAAAAAAAGUGUGUGUAUGUCAGUAUGUAUGUAUCUGUGUGUGUAUAUAUACACUGACAUACACACACUUUUUUUGCAGGAGUGUGGUUGGGGCUGAUGGGAGUCGGCG